UACAGAGGGUGCGAGCGUUAAUCGGAUUUACUGGGCGUAAAGCGUGCGUAGGCGGUUGGGUAAGGCGGAAGUGAAAGCCCUGGGCUUAACCUGGGAAUGCCAUUCGAUACUGCCCGACUCGAGUUCGGUAGAGGGCGGUGGAACUCCAGGUGUAGCGGUGAAAUGCGUAGAUAUCUGGAAGAACACCAAUGGCGAAGGCAACCGCCUGGGCCUGAACUGACGCUGAGGCACGAAAGCGUGGGGAGCAAACAGG
rnacentral:rRNA from 1 species